UGGGCCUAGUCUGUGUGAUCUGUGGGAU
rnacentral:piRNA from 1 species